UACAGAGGUGGCAAGCGUUGUUCGGAAUUACUGGGCGUAAAGGGCGCGUAGGCGGUUCGUUAAGUCCUGUGUGAAAUCCCCCGGCUCAACUGGGGAACUGCACAGGAAACUAGCGGGCUUGAGUUCGGGAGAGGGAAGCGGAAUUCCGGGUGUAGCGGUGGAAUGCGUAGAGAUCCGGAAGAACACCGGUGGCGAAGGCGGCCUGCUGGGCAGUUGCUGACACUGAGGCGCGACAGCGUGGGGAGCAAACAGG
rnacentral:rRNA from 1 species